AUUCUGCCCAAGCGGGGAAGGAUGAGAAGCUUCGACCAAGGUUCGACUCGAGCGCCAGCGAGAGAGCGUUGCCGCAGGCAACGACCCGAAGGGCGAAGCGCGCAGCGCUGAG
rnacentral:sRNA from 1 species